rnacentral:misc_RNA from 1 species
GAUGAAGAACGUAGCGAAAUGCGAUAAGUAAUGUGAAAUGCAGAAUUCAGUGAAUCAUCGAAUCUUUGAACGCACAUUGCGCCCGCCAGUAUUCUGGCGGGCAUGCCUGUUCGAGCGUCAUUUCAACCAUCAAGCCCCCGGCUUGUGUUGGGGACCUGCGGCUGCCGCAGGCCCUGAAAACCAGUGGCGGGCUCGCUAGUCACUCCGAGCGUAGUAAUACAUCUCGCUCAGGGCGUGCUGCGGGUUCCGGCCGUUAAAAAGCCUUAUUUACCCAAGGUUGACCUCGGAUCAGGUAGGAAGACCCGCUGAACUUAAGCAUAUCAAUAAGCGGAGGA